AUCCUUUUGCCCGUUAGGACCUGAAGGAGAGUAGGGGUGGACAUGGCUGCUCACACUUGUCUUCUCUAAGGGCUCCAGUCUCUGAAGGGCAUCUAGGAGGCCAGCUUCCUCAGGAUCCAGUACCCUCCUCCCACUCCAUUCCCGAAGGCACUCUGAGAGUGCAGGCUUAGUUACUCCUUCUAAACUACUUUGCUAGCCCAGUCAUAUGGCUCUCCCAAAUAUCUAAGGAUCCUGUGUUCCAGGAAAAACCCAGUCCUUUCUAAAUCCCCAUAGACCCUUCCAUCCCACCCCGCUCCCAAUAAAUAUCCAACUCUCCGACUUCCUCCAACCUCAAAAUCCAGCAUGCCCUAAAUAACAGUUCCCAGUCCUUCCAGAUCCUCUCUGGAAGGUACCUAGUCCCUAGCCUCCCUCAAUCCCCCCUCUGCUUCCCUCAAUCCCAGAUACAAUCCCAGAUAACUCCAUACAUUACCGAACCCCUUCGUAUCCCCAAUCUACACACACACACACACACACACACACACACACACUGCCCCAAGCCAAACCCACCACGCCAGUCUCAGCACUCCCUCAACAACCCUCCUUGGGGACCUUGCUGCACCUUCCCGGAGUACACUGGAACCACAGGCGCCUCUCCGGGAUCCAGCAGCCGCCGCCGCCGUCGGACCAAUGUACGCGGGGCUCCCGCAGCCUCGGCCGCCCCUUCACUGUCACUGUCGCUGUCCUGCUCAGCUGCGGCCGGCGCGGGGAGGCGGGCGACCGGCACCUCUAUUGGGUCCGCGACGACUUCCAGGACCCCUUCGUCGCUGUCGCUGUCACUGACCAAGUCCACAAGCACGGUGUCUGGAAUGAGUCUAGUCGAAGACUGCGGGGCGCGAGGACACCGGCCACGGGCGGGUCGGGCUCUCCGAGCGCCUCGGCCGGCUCGGCCACCGCGGGACCUCGGACCACGUCUCCUCAGGGGUUCCGCCAUCUCCCACACAGCUUCCACAAACACCGGCCUCUACACAGGCACCGGUCCCCAACAUCAGCGUCUGUACCUUUCAUUGGACGAACAGCCUGCCGGUCAUCACCUCUUCCCGCCCACACGCUCUGGAUCCGCCUGUCCACGUUCUCAUUGGUCACUUUUUCUGUCUAUCACCUACCCUCCACUAAAACAAAGGCGCCAAAGAUUCCAAUCCCUUUGGUACAAUCAAAAAAGGUUUCGAUUCUGUACAGUUCACCCAUUGGCUGAAUUUCCUCCUGACCCAGCCUUCCCCAGGACACACCCAUUGGAGAAAUCCACUUUCCUGGUUGGUGAAAGACUGGCGCAUCCUGGGAAUUGUAGUCCUCUUACUCGGAAAAGCCACAGGAAAAGCUUUGUGGGAAGAACAUUAGAAGCUGAAGCUUUGUGGGACGAACAUUAGAAGCUGAAGACCUUGGGCUAUGUAUUCCUUUUGUGUCUCCAACCUCUGUGUGGUAGGAGUUCCAUUCCACACUAAACACUUUCAUGCAUGUCACCUUGGAAAAGCUCUACAAACACAAUAUCAGCACAACAUAUAUCAUAGCACAGUACAACUCAGAAACACUUUUUAAGACAUUUACAAAUUAAAAUAAGAGGCUUUCUUCUCCCUGCUGCAAAGAAAA